UCCCUGGUGACUCAGACGGUAAAGCAUCUGUCUGCAAUGCAGGAGACCCGGGUUCGAUCCCCGGUUUGGGAA
rnacentral:tRNA from 1 species